ACCUCAUAUUCGGGGAGCUUGCAGCCGCCGUAUGGGCGGCCGGGCAGGCUGAGAGGAGGCGCCGCAUACGCCUCGACCCGCCGAACCUGCUGUGGGUAAUGCCAACGAAGGGAGUUUUAUGAUCGAAGAU
rnacentral:ncRNA from 2 species